UACGAAGGGGGCUAGCGUUGCUCGGGAUCACUGGGCGUAAAGCGCACGUAGGCGGACUCUUAAGUCGGUGGUGAAAUCCUGGAGCUCAACUCCAGAACUGCCUUCGAUACUGGGAGUCUCGAGUCCGAGAGAGGUGAGUGGAACUGCGAGUGUAGAGGUGAAAUUCGUAGAUAUUCGCAAGAACACCAGUGGCGAAGGCGGCUCACUGGCUCGGUACUGACGCUGAGGUGCGAAAGCGUGGGGAGCAAACAGG
rnacentral:rRNA from 1 species